CUUUUUCUCCUCUCUCUCUCUCUAGUUUGAGUAUAUACUUGGUAGAGGCCACGACGGUUGGAGUUCGGAUCGACGUCGAUUUCACGCCGGAGAGCCGUUUGAGCCUACGUGCGUUGUGGUAGCGCCAUUGGAGGCCGGACGAGUGCGUGUUUUCCCUUCUUUCGACUUCUCACCAUCGUUGGAUUAGCUUUUCAAGAGCCUCCUUCUUCGGCUGCUGCUGUUGCGGAUACAGAUCGCGGAAAGGGCGCUGCGAGCUAAACCCUCUCCAUUUGCUGCAGACUAGAGAUAUACCAACUACAGUGGUCGUCGUCGUCGUCGUCACCAGCGAGGGGGCGAUCGCGGUGGAGAAAGAGGAGCCGCGGUCAUAGAGGAAGCGGCUGAUAGAGGCCACCUCAACGGUGGAAGGGGAUUGGGCGGACCCGGACCGUUGGAUCGGGCGAUGCUUCUCGUGGGAGAUCGGCGCCGACCUCGCCAUCCCCGGCGGUGCCUUCGGCUGAGGCUGUCGUCAUGAGCGCUUCCGACGACAUCGGCUGCACCUUCACCUUCCUCCUCGCCGCUGCGGGCGUCAGCCUCGUCCUUAUCGGCCGCAACUUCAACGAGCUCCGCGACAUCGCUACCGCCAUCCGCUCCCGCAGCCCAAAAAGGAAGAGAAAGAGGAAGAGGGCAAAAAUGUCAUUUCACAAACUUACUCUUAAAAAAUAAACAACUCCUUUACGGAUCCUAACCAGAGAGACUUAUCUGAAAACAUUAGAACUUUUGUAGGGAUAACAUCUAAAAGUUGAACUUUGCAGAAAUAUAUCUGUAAUUUACUAUAUU